GACGAACGCUGGCGGCGUGCUUAACACAUGCAAGUCGAACGGAAAGGCCCUGCUUUUGUGGGGUGCUCGAGUGGCGAACGGGUGAGUAACACGUGAGUAACCUGCCCUUGACUUUGGGAUAACUUCAGGAAACUGGGGCUAAUACCGGAUAGGAGCUCCUGCUGCAUGGUGGGGGUUGGAAAGUUUCGGCGGUUGGGGAUGGACUCGCGGCUUACCAGCUUGUUGGUGGGGUAGUGGCCUACCAAGGCUUUGACGGGUAGCCGGCCUGAGAGGGUGACCGGCCACAUUGGGACUGAGAUACGGCCCGGACUGCUACGGGAGGCGGCAGUGGGGAAUGAUGCACAAUGGGCGGAAGCCUGAUGCAGCAACGCCGCGUGCGAGAUGACUGCCUUCGGGUGGUAAACCGCUUUCGCCUGUGACGAAGCGUGAGUGACAGUAAUGGGUAAAGAAGCACCGGCUAACUACGUG
rnacentral:rRNA from 1 species